rnacentral:lncRNA from 10 species
CAGCCCUGUGACGUCUGGAGCAUUGGCUGCAUUCUCUUUGAGUACUACCGGGGCUUCACACUCUUCCAGACCCACGAAAACCGAGAGCACCUGGUGAUGAUGGAGAAGAUCCUAGGGCCCAUCCCAUCACACAUGAUCCACCGUACCAGGAAGCAGAAAUAUUUCUACAAAGGGGGCCUAGUUUGGGAUGAGAACAGCUCUGACGGCCGGUAUGUGAAGGAGAACUGCAAACCUCUGAAGAAUAUAAGCUCCACAGAAGAAUGGAUUUAAAAAAAUCUGUUGCCAUAUCCCUAGCAUCAGGAAGAGUGCCUGUUCAACGAAUAUUUGUGGAAUGGACCAAUGGGUCCCCAGCUCUUCAUGUGCAAUGGCUCACACCUGUAAUCCCAGCACUUUGGGAGGCAGAGGCACGCAGAUUACCUGAGGCCAAGAGUUUGGGACCAGCCUGGACAACAUGGCGAAACCCUGUCUCUACCAGAAACACAAAAAAUUAGCUGUGCAUGGUGGCACAUGCCUGCAGUCUCAGCUACUUCAUGAGGCUGAGGUGGGAGAAUUGCUCAAGCUCAGGAGGUGGAAGUUGCAGUGAGCUGAGAUUGUGCCACUGUGCUCCAGCCUGGGUGACAGAGUGAGAACCUGUCUCAA